AUUGAACGCUGGCGGCAUGCCUUACACAUGCAAGUCGAACGGUAACAGGUUAAGCUGACGAGUGGCGAACGGGUGGGUAAUACAUCGGAACGUGCCCAGUAGUGGGGGAUAGCCCGGCGAAAGCCGGAUUAAUACCGCAUACGACCUAAGGGUGAAAGGGGGGGAUCGCAAGACCUCUCGCUAUUGGAGCGGCCGAUGUCAGAUUAGCUAGUUGGUGGGGUAAAAGCUCACCAAGGCGACGAUCUGUAGCUGGUCUGAGAGGACGACCAGCCACACUGGGACUGAGACACGGCCCAGACUCCUACGGGAGGCAGCAGUGGGGAAUUUUGGACAAUGGGCGCAAGCCUGAUCCAGCCAUGCCGCGUGCGGGAAGAAGGCCUUCGGGUUGUAAACCGCUUUUGUCAGGGAAGAAAUCCUUUGGGUUAAUACCUCGGGGGGAUGACGGUACCUGAAGAAUAAGCACCGGCUAACUACGU
rnacentral:rRNA from 1 species